AGCGAACGUUUGCGGCGGGCUUAACACAUGCAAGUCGAACGCGAAAGGGCUUCGGCCCGAGUAGAGUGGCGGACGGGUGAGUAAUGCGUGGGAAUCUACCCUAGAGCGGGGGACAACCCGGGGAAACCCGGGCUAAUACCGCAUACGUCCUACGGGAGAAAGGGGGCCUCUGAAUGUAAGCUCCCACUCCAGGAUGAGCCCACGUCCGAUUAGCUAGUUGGUAGGGUAAAGGCCUACCAAGGCCACGAUCGGUAGCUGGUCUGAGAGGAUGGCCAGCCACACUGGGACUGAGACACGGCCCAGACUCCUACGGGAGGCAGCAGUGGGGAAUAUUGGACAAUGGGCGCAAGCCUGAUCCAGCAAUGCCGCGUGUGUGAAGAAGGCCUGCGGGUUGUAAAGCACUUUCAGUGGGGAAGAACGGGCUAAGGUUAAUACCCCUGGCUUCUGACGUUACCCACAGAAGAAGCACCGGCUAACUCCGUGCCAGCAGCCGCGGUAAAGCUAGCAUG
rnacentral:rRNA from 1 species